rnacentral:lncRNA from 1 species
CCCGUGGGCUGCUGUUUUGGGGAACCAUGACCAAGAAUCCACUCUGUCAAGGGAAGGGGUUAUGAAACAUAUUGUUGGCCUUAAGAAUACUCUCUCUCAAGUCAAUCCUGCGGAGGUACACAUCAUUGAUGGUUUUGGGAACUAUAACCUGGAGAUUGGCGGGGUUAAAGGUUCACGAUUUGAAAAUAAAUCAGCUCUUAAUCUUUAUUUCCUUGAUAGCGGAGACUACUCCACAGUUCCGGCAAUCCCUGGCUAUGGUUGGAUUAAACCCUCGCAGCAGCUUUGGUUCCAACGCACCUCUGCGAAGCUUCGGGUAAUAACACCGCUCUUUUAUACGGUUGAAGUAAUUUGUAGGUCACUGUAUGAUUUACUUCCAUCAUUUAUCAGUAAAAAGAAUCACUAGUCUGUCUACACACAAGUAGAAUCUACAUUAUGCAUAGUUUUAACUUCUAAAAGGUGCAUUAGCUUAAUUAUUAGUUGUUGAAUUCCCAUUUUUCCCUUUCCAUUCAGAGAGCAUACACGAGACAGCCAGAGGCUCAGAAAGGACCUGCACCUGGGCUGGUGUACUUUCACAUCCCAUUGCCUGAGUUUGCAAGUUUCGAUUCAUCAAACUUCACAGGAGGGAGACAAGAAGGCAUUAGCUCUGCUUCUGUGAACUCGGGCUUCUUCACAACCAUGGUAGAAGCUGGGGAUGUGAAAGCUGUUUUCACCGGACAUGAUCAUCUCAAUGACUUCUGUGGUAAGCUUACUGGUAUACAACUUUGUUACGCUGGGGGUUUUGGAUACCAUGCCUAUGGGAAGGCAGGGUGGUCAAGGAGGGCGAGGGUGGUGUUGGCAUCUUUGGAAAAGACAGAGCAAGGAAGUUGGGGAGCUGUCAAGUCUAUCAAAACAUGGAAGCGCCUUGAUGAUGAACACCUUACCACUUUAGAUGGUCAGGUCCUUUGGAGCUAGAGCCAUGCAGAUAUGGUUGAAAUUGAAAUAGAAUAAAAAGUAUUUAAUAUAUUUGAUUAAAAUAAUAUUUUUCAAAUUAAGGUUAUAAAAUAAUAUAUAUAUAUAUAUAUAUAUUUUGAUGGUUUUUAAUUUAAAUAUUGUAGAUUUAACUACUGUUAUUACAUGAUGAAAUAAAUAAUAUUGAUAUCAAAUAUUUUUUAUUAUUCCAUUAAACUAUAUACAAUUUCAUCACGUACGAAAUCUAUCCAACAAGGACUAUAUUUUUCAUGGUUUUAUAAGUGCGUAACAAUAAAAAUUAAAUUUUUUGUUACGUCAUCAAACGAUCUCCUUCUAAUUUUUUGAAUAAAACAAAAUUAUAAAUAAAAAUAAAAACUGAAUUUUUUUUAACUGAGUCGGACCCGACAAGAAUAUAAUUGGGCUUGCGAUCAAAUUCUGUAAAUGUUACGUCAUCAAGCGAUCUCCUUCUAAUUUAUUUAGUGUUAUUAAAUAAUAUUAAACACUAUUUUUAGAGUAAAAUAAAAUUUUAAAAAAAUAAUUUUUGUAAUGUAAGUAGUUAUUCACCUGACACUGUUCACGUGAGCAGUGACAGGGUGAAUUAUAUUUAUCUAGGUACUGUUCACUCCAAGUGAACAGUGCUUCAAGUUCACUCCAAGUGAACAGUGCCUCACGUUUGCAACCUGGAGUGAACAGUAUCUAGGUGAAUUAUAUUUAGUUGGUUGCAGAUAUAUAUGGAUCCCACGUAAAAAGCAGGUAAGUUUUUAUGUUACCAAACUUGAUGUUUACGCGGUCAGCUUUAAAAAUAGAAACUACCAUGUAAACAAACACCCACUAAAAAUUUCAUUCCAAACAUUAAAAUUUUUUAAUAAAAUGAAAUCAAAUAAAAUUUAUUACUUGGAAAUCAAUUCAACUUCACAAUCUUUUAAUCCUUUCAAACAAGAAUAAGGUGGCAGCAAUGUCAAGAUCCAAAACAACAACCAGACAACUAAGACAUUCAUGUUUUGGAUUCCUAAAGGAAACUCCGAAACCAAACACAUUACACCACGCAAGAACCCCUUUAUCAACAUCUUCAUCAUCAUCGUACCAACCGGUUUGAACUGGUUUUUUUUCUAAAAAACUGAACCGAACCAAAACCAGUUGGUUUGAACCGGUUUCGGGUUUUUUUUUAAAAAAAAUUAAUUUAAUUAUUUUUUUUAUUAAAACCGAACCAAACAGAAAAUAAUCAUCCCUAAACGUUACUCACCAAGCAAGAAAGCACUUCCAUUGCUACUACAAACAGGUAAGGGAAAAUUGAGGAUCUCCUUGACGAAGCCCUUUAGAGCCAGCAAAUACAUGCACAAAUUGCCACUAAUAGAAAUAAAGAAAGGACUAGCCACACAUGCUCUGGUCCAAUUCACACACUGCAUAGGCAAUCCCUUAGCCUAUAUAUUGUCUUUCAAGUACUAAAUGUUGAAGUAUUGUCAUUUUCUUCUAAAGGUUUCAUGAUUCCUUUUGCUAUAUUGUUCUAACAUGUCAUUACUCGUGGGAAGUAGCUUUCCUCCCUCUUAAGCAAGGUGUUGUUGCUCAACUUGUACUCCUAUAGUCAUUACUGUGCGUGACCAUCACUGUGUUAUUUUAACAUAUUCUUGCACGGCGUGUGACCCGAGUUUUAAUGACUUGUGAGAAGCUAAUGAGAGUGCAUUAGCUGAGUUAAUCCUUAUCAGCAGUUUGGUCCCUCAUUUUAAACCCGUGAACCUGCCAUAUAUUGACCUCAUCGAUAAAACUAAAACUAAUCUGUAAAAUCAGAGAACAAACGGACGGAGGUAACAUAAUCCCUAAUGGUUAUGGAUGAAGCUCCCAUUUCUUAUAAUGCCGUAAUGCAAGGAUGUGUAAUGGACAUCUAGCACAAGCUUGAAACUAAGGACCCUUUUAUUUUUCUUGAAUGGAUUUCUAGCAGUAGUUUCUUUUUUAUCACCUAGUUUAAAAAACAGAUGUUGCUUCACAGAAUGGCGAGUCCCUCAAAAAUCAUAUCCCUGUUGUGAAACUGCCAGGAUCGUGUUUUAGAAAUGGCAGCCAUCCUUCCAUCAAGAGCAAGGGAAUGCUGCUGGGCACUAUUCUGCUCUGCACAAUCCCUAGUAACAUGAAAUGUUUUAACAAUUGAAAAGAGGGUCUAAACUGAUUGAUGCCCUUGUGAUUGGUUAUCACGCUCGAUCAACUUAAAAAGAAAACUAGAAAGUUGAAACAUGUGUUUUUUUUUUUUAGUUUAACGUAGGUGUCCGGGCUAGCUUGUGCGCACUUCGACUAAUCCCACGGGCCCUGAAGUUAAUAACUGUAAGCCUCUAGUGGCUAUGUUCCAAACUCUUAUCAUUGGGCCACCACCUAAAUGACAACAGAUGUGUUUUCUACAUACUAGAUAUGGAAAUCUUAUUGAAUUCCCCGUGCAGAAGACAUCAAAUAAAUCGUGGUCUCUUGCUCUUUCCCUGUCAGUUUUGUCUAUCAGUUGCCAUCUCAGUAAAGCAUCCGAGUCCCUCAACUCUUUUGGAACAUGGAGGAUUGGUCGUGUGAGUUGAAGGCCUUGUACUUUGAGGCUUAUCCGGCUGAAAGUAGCCUGCUCCCUCACGGUGGUUGUGGGUAGAUGGCCAGUGUUGGACCCGGCUAGAGAACAACUUGGAUCUAAAUACAGGUCCGUGAAUAUCUAUUAAUGAAAAAAAAAAAGAGAAUCCAGAGAUUUCAAGGUCCUUUGACAUUGUCAACGCAGCGGAUUUUUUAUUUUUAAUCUCCACAUCAAAGCUGUUGUAUCAAUAAUGGUUGUAUUAAUAAUGAUUGCUUGAUGUAUUUCUUCUUAUUGGACUUGGAAAUGAAUCCAUGAUCGAACACAACCAGAAUUGAAAAGGACGUUGCUAGUUAAUUUUAUUUUUGUGUUUGGUCCAUGAGCCUCGUUACAUGUGCAACCAAAUCACAUGUCAAGAUCCGUUUUAGAGAUGGUGUUUUAAAGUUUUUUUUAUUUAAAAAUUAUUAAAAUAAUUUUUUUAAAUUUUAAAUUUUUUUUAAUAUUAGGACAUUAAAACCAUACAAAAAUAUUAAAAAUUAAUUUUACACAAAAUUUAAAUUUUAAACAAAAAAUAUUUUAUCGACAUUACCGAACACUCCUAAAUUCAUAUUGAAAUUAAUAUUUAAAAAACUCAUUAAAUGUUGAAGCAAUUUGUUGUUUUGAAUGAGGAUAUAAGUGGUUUAAAAUAUUUCUAUUUUUUUUUGCUUGAAUCAUAAUAUUACAAUAUUUUUUUUAGAUUUUUUUUUUAUUUUUAAUAUUAAUAUAUUAAAAUUAAUAAAAAUUAAUAAAAAAAUAUUAAUUUAAUAAUUUUCAAGUGAAUUCCAUAAAUAAAAAUUACCGAAUUUCUAAACAUUCAUUUAAAGUUAAAAAAAAAAAGCAUCACGUUGUCGUAGACGAACAUAAAAAAUCAAUUUGUCGUAAAUAAAUAAAGGGCUAAUUACAAUAUUAGUACAUUAUCUUUUCCUUUUUUAAAAAAAUAUAUAAAAUUUAAUAUUUUUUAUUUAAAUACAUCGAUUUUUUUUAAAAUUUCCAAAUAAACGUUUCAGCCUAUCUUUCAUUAAUUUUUCUAUUAACUUUAAAGGAUAUUAUAUGGUGAUAGUAAUUAUUUUUUAUUUACAAAUAUAUUUAAAAAAAUUAUUUUUAAUAAUAAAAUAUCAAAAUGAUUUGAAAUUAAAAAAAAUAUGAAAAAUUUUAAUUUUUUUAAAAAUUAUUUUUGAAAUAUAAAAAUAAACAAAUUUUAAAUCACUAUUUAUAUUCUACCUUGUAUUUUAUUUUAAUAAAAUACAUGAAUUUUUUUUUUAUUCAGCAUGUUUUUAAUGUUUCGAUCAAAUACCUUUUUUGAAUUGAUCGUAGAGUUCACAAAAUUAAGAUCUAAAUAAAAUAAUAUUUGAGUAAAAGAGCUAGAACAUAAAACAGUCCCUGUCCUGCAUCACGCGUUGCCCAAAAAUCCUGUUCGAUUCUAACACAAAUAUUUUUUUAGAAAAAAAGACACCCUUCAAUGACCACGCAACAAGGAAAGGAAUGUCCUUUUGGGUACUAUUAAAUAUUUGAUUUUAUUAAGAAGAUGAUCAGUAUGUGAAGCUUUCUUUGUCUUGAAUGUGAUUUUGACUUGCACACUUUAGCUCUAGGCUACACGCCAAACUAGGACUAGACUCACUCUCCCUAUAUCUAUAGCUGGAAGACAAUACUGAAGGCAUCGGGUUUGCUGAUUUUAAGUAGAUAACAACGAUGGCGAAGAAGAGCACACCAAGUAUGUCACCCUCCCACUUUUUGGGGGUUGUGGUUUUCUCUCUCUGCUUCUUCGUUCCAAAAUCUGUGUUGGGUGAGAAAAAAGAGCUGCGAUUUAGAAAAAAUGGAGAGUUCAAGAUACUGCAAGUGGCAGAUAUGCACUUUGCGGAUGGCAAGACCACGUCUUGCCUCGAUGUGUUCCCAAAUCAGAUGCCUUCUUGCUCUGACCUCAACACCACUGCCUUUGUUGAGCGCAUGAUUCAAGCUGAGAAGCCCGAUUUUAUUGUUUUCACUGGUACCCCUUAUACUCUUAUUUACCCUUUCCUUUUCUAAUUCCUAGUUAUGUUCUUGGCUCUGAUUUUUUUUUUUUGGUGGUCUAUAUAUGAUUGUUAUUCUGAAAUUUGGAUAUAACCAACAAAACCCAGUUGUUAAUUUGUUUACCGAAGCAUGUUUCCGAUUUGGUAACAGUAUCUAUGGCAUGUAGUGGGUAAGCUCUAACAAGUAUGCUCCUUUCACAAUCUGAGCAUUAAUGGAAGUAUUGUUGGCACUUUGGGAAACAGGGGAUAACAUUUUUGGCUUUGAUGCCACGGAUGCUGCAAAAUCACUGAGUGCUGCCUUUCAGCCUGCAAUUGCAUCAAACAUCCCGUGGGCUGCUAUUUUGGGGAACCAUGACCAAGAAUCCACUCUGUCAAGGGAAGGGGUUAUGAAACAUAUUGUUGGCCUUAAGAAUACUCUCUCUCAAGUCAAUCCUGCGGAGGUACACAUCAUUGAUGGUUUUGGGAACUAUAACCUGGAGAUUGGCGGGGUUAAAGGUUCACGAUUUGAAAAUAAAUCAGCUCUUAAUCUUUAUUUCCUUGAUAGCGGAGACUACUCCACAGUCCCGGCAAUCCCUGGCUAUGGUUGGAUUAAACCCUCGCAGCAGCUCUGGUUCCAACGCAC